GAUGAACGCUGGCGGCGUGCCUAAUACAUGCAAGUCGAGCGAACGGACGAGAAGCUUGCUUCUCUGAUGUUAGCGGCGGACGGGUGAGUAACACGUGGAUAACCUACCUAUAAGACUGGGAUAACUUCGGGAAACCGGAGCUAAUACCGGAUAAUAUUUUUAACCGCAUGGUUCAAAAUUGAAAGACGGUCUUGCUGUCACUUAUAGAUGGAUCCGCGCUGCAUUAGCUAGUUGGUAAGGUAACGGCUUACCAAGGCAACGAUGCAUAGCCGCCCUGAGAGGGUGAUCGGCCACACUGGAACUGAGACACGGUCCAGACUCCUACGGGAGGCAGCAGUAGGGAAUCUUCCGCAAUGGGCGAAAGCCUGACGGAGCAACGCCGCGUGAGUGAUGAAGGUCUUCGGAUCGUAAAACUCUGUUAUUAGGGAAGAACAUAUGUGUAAGUAACUGUGCACAUCUUGACGGUACCUAAUCAGAAAGCCACGGCUAACUACGUG
rnacentral:rRNA from 1 species